UCGAUGAAGGACGCAGCUAGCUGCGUGAUUUAGUGUGAUUGCAGGACACAUUGAGCAUCGACGAUCUGAACGCGAAUUGCGGCCUCGGGUUAAUCCCGGGACCGCGCCCGCCUCAGGGUCG
rnacentral:rRNA from 1 species